AUGACAUGCAUGCCCCUCAUUUGUCUUAUUUAUCUGUACCUUUCUUUCAUCAACCUAUCAAACCCUCAGCUCUCUCAUGAGACUCACCCACUGACCUAUCUCUUCUCCCUCUCGCUGAAAUCCGACCACUGGAACUCCGUCUCCGACGACAUAUUGGUCCGACAAACACCCACCAGCAUCACCCCCCACUCACCUGGUUACCCUCUCUAAAUGAAACGGCUGGCCACCACCACCGUCUGGUGCCGGCGCGGCGACGAGGAGAGAGAGACUCAGAGAUAGACGAAGAGAGAGAGGGAGAGAGUGGCGUAAGAGAGGAAGAGACCGAGGAGGAGAGACGGUGGAGGUUGAUGACGGCGGCAGCGCCGCCGUACACGGUGGCAGGUGACAUACGACGGUGAUGGAUGUACGAGCCUCUCCGAUUGGGCUAGGAAUCGGAAACGCCUAAGAGAAAUAUUAGAAUGGAAACUGCCUGGUUCGGUGGGAUCACUAACACAAUGUUCUAUAAAGAGGAAUCGCAACGCUCAAACGUAUAACCUCUACCUCAAUUUGACCGAAGAAUUCGUCUCACAACUCACACCCGCGGUUUUCUUCCUCUUCCGUCAUCCGUGGGCUGUUAAAAGUCUCCGCUCUUCUACUCAAUCAGGAUCUGUGAAGCCCUGAUUAUUCUCCAUGUCUGUUCAUUGCUUCCAUUAACAUGUACCCAUUAGAUAACAAACUUCUAUUUUUUCUUUUUAUUAAUUCUCAAGAGUUAGGGUUUUUCUUUCUUCAUCAAGUUCAUUUAGAUCGAUGCAGCAAUCAAUUACCGUUCUAAUUCCACAUUGAUUAUGAUUAGAUAUUUGUUGCUUCAGUUAUGAUUAGA